UACGGAGGGUGCAAGCGUUGCUCGGAAUUAUUGGGCGUAAAGGGUAGGUAGGUGGUCUCAUUUGUCUGGGGUGAAAGCCUUGAGCUUAACUCAAGAAGUGCCCCCAGAAACGGUGAGACUGGAGUCCUGGAGAGGGUCGUGGAAUUCCCGGUGUAGCGGUGAAAUGCGUAGAGAUCGGGAGGAACACCAGAGGCGAAAGCGGCGACCUGGACAGGUACUGACACUCAACUACGAAAGCGUGGGGAGCAAACAGG
rnacentral:rRNA from 1 species